GACGAACGCUGGCGGCGUGCCUAAUACAUGCAAGUUGAGCGCUGAAGGUUGGUACUUGUACCAACUGGAUGAGCAGCGAACGGGUGAGUAACGCGUGGGGAAUCUGCCUUUGAGCGGGGGACAACAUUUGGAAACGAAUGCUAAUACCGCAUAAAAACUUUAAACACAAGUUUUAAGUUUGAAAGAUGCAAUUGCAUCACUCAAAGAUGAUCCCGCGUUGUAUUAGCUAGUUGGUGAGGUAAAGGCUCACCAAGGCGAUGAUACAUAGCCGACCUGAGAGGGUGAUCGGCCACAUUGGGACUGAGACACGGCCCAACCUCCUACGGGAGGCAGCAGUAGGGAAUCUUCGGCAAUGGACGAAAGUCUGACCGAGCAACGCCGCGUGAGUGAAGAAGGUUUUCGGAUCGUAAAACUCUGUUGGUAGAGAAGAACGUUGGUGAGAGUGGAAAGCCCAUCAAGUGACGGUAACUACCCAGAAAGGGACGGCUAACUACGUG
rnacentral:rRNA from 1 species